rnacentral:lncRNA from 1 species
CAAUUUGCACUCUGAUGGGAUAAUAAUUAACAACGCCUGUCAGCAUCGGCGAAGAAACAAUCUCGAAAAACGUCGACCUGGAUACCAAAAUAAAUGGUAACACAAGGAUAACCAUGGCCUGAUCACCACACAUCCGCUCGGGAUGAGUAUUCUCUUCUUUUUUAUUCUUUUCUUGAACCCCGAAAUUUUCUUUUCUUCCCCUUUUUU